UGCUGGGAUAGCCGCCCGUCCCUUUACAUUCACAUACAGAGGAGAGGAGGUGAACUCUGCCAUCUGGAGUUGGCUAAGGAAGUGCUGCAUAUUACCAACGGUUACAUCAUUAUACACGGCCGGCACACUCACACAUGCUGCCCCAGAAUGAGCGUGCUUGCUGAAUAAAAUUCGCCUUCAAUUAGAGGAACCGGGGUGGUAUUCACAACUAUCGCAUUAAUCAAGAAGGGGCUUGACACUGGUUGUUUGUACGGACUGUCAUGGGAGAAUUCGAGAGUCACACCUGUUACACUCCAACAAGCUAGACUGAAAGAUCUUUACCCCCCACAGAGGAAGAGAAAAAAAAUGAGAGGGAAAAGGCUGCUAUUAUCUGUCUUUGUCCCUCUCCUCUCUCCUUUCUCCACUCAGACCUGUGAAAGGAUUUUGUUUGUGUAAAGCGUUCCAAAGCCUGGAGGUCAUCAAACACACUGACACUGAGGAGAUGUGACCCUUGCACCGCAGCAGACACAUGGUGUCUAAUCAUGUUUAAUUUUUAAUCACUCAUUAUUUUAAAUAUUUGGUCUUUCUGGAAUAAUGUAACAUUCUAUCUAGUGUUUUGUCUGUCUGUCUACAGUCCAUUUUCUACUGUCCAUUUUAAUAAAUAAAUGAAUAAACAAACAUAUAUAUUAAUGUACGCAUUUCAUGUUUCAAUUGUAUCAUUUGUCAUGAUGCAAUGAAACACCGAAUUGUGCGGACAUCAUUUUUAACCAACUGGUCAUACCAAGCUUGCACUCAUUUUUCCCAGCCUAUAAUUCAAUAAAUCACCAUGUGGCUGGUAUGCUAUAUUAUUAGAUGUUAUUUUAGUUUUAGUGAAAAUGGCCAGCUGGAGCAUGGUUGCAAAGAAGCCGUCCUUUGCAUCCACGAGGAUAUUGUUAAAAUGGCAAAAUUUGGUCAAUCGGUUUGGAUAUUGUGAAUAGUCACAGUUUCCACAGUAUUAUUUCAAAGCACAGUGAGACUAGUGAGCAUUUUGACAGAAGGAUGAAAAUGACCUGAAUGUGGGACCAAAUUAAAACAGCUUCUAAAGACCUGGAUGAGACGUGCAAUUCUGAGGAGCCUCCAAUUUCAUCUUGAACUCUAAGCCAACAGCUACAAGAGGCUGGAUUGAGAGGUUGUGUACCAGUAAAGAAACCAUUUAUUAGUUUCAUCAACUGCAAAGAACACCUUGCAUUUGCCAAACAGAAGGACUGGAGUGUGAAAGAUUGGAGCCGUGUUCUGCAGUCUGACAAGUCAAAAUUUAACAACCUAGCAUUGGAUGGUGUCAGGUAUGUUCAUAGGAAACGACUGGAGUGUUUUAAUACCAGAUGCAUGCAUGGAUCCAUUUACAUAAUGGUAUUAGGAACGCUUGUUUGCAGCAGGUGUUGGAAGGAUCUACAAAGUUGCUGGCACUUUGAAAAUGGACCAAUACUUGGGAAUCCUGCUGACCACAAUGUAGCCAAGAUCUGUUUGGAGAGCAAAUGUGUAUUUUCCAACAUGAUAAUAAUCCCAAACACACCACGAAUGCAAUAAAGUUGCAUGAAAAUUGCAAAUGAAAAUUGUCAUCAUUUACUCACCCUCAAGUUGAGUAAAUUAUGUAUUUUUGGUUGAACUUUCCCUUUAAAGGCAUUGAAAAUCAUUGGGAAAUUAUAAACCUGAAUUGUGAGAAGUCAUGCAGGUCUUCCAAUGAAGCUCAACUUUGGGAAGAACUUAAGGAGGAUUGGAAAGAAGUUGAGCAUGACGCAUGUGCAAAGUUUAGUGAGUCAAUACCCAGGAAUGUGGGUAUUGAAAAAAAUGGCUGCUGUAAUCAAAAACAAGAGAGAACCAACAAAAUAUUAAUAACUUAUUACAUUGUAGUCAAUGAAUGCUUUAUUUUCUGUGAGCUUUUUGUUUUUCUAUGCUUUUUCUGCAUAGUACUGUAAAACCCAUAUUCCAUGAUAUGCUGGAGAUUGCCUUUCUUGCCAAAUAAUUGUCAUUUUAGCCAAGUGUAGUGAAUUCUUCUAAUGUAUAUCAUGCUCCUCAUAGUAUUAUUAUUUAAUUAAGGCUAAAGUGUCAUUAACAGCAAAUAUCCCCUCCGGACAUCACUUUUGGCCACUACUGUUUUCACAUUAGUCUAACAGUAAUAAAAAUAACUGUAGUAAUCUUGCAACUUUAUAUCUCACAGUAAGACUUUCUUGCAAUUGAAUGCAGCUAGUUUUGAGAGUGCUGAAGUAAGCAUGUCCGUGCCAGUGCUAACAGUAGCUCACUUCUGCCCCAAUUCAUCAGCAGCUGUUAGACAACAGUGAUGCUAAUACUAUCAGUCUGCUAACAUCUGUUAGCAUGUGUGUUUCACUGAAACUACAAUAGAGACUACAAGCUCUAUCAUAGCCCAACACCUCCAUAUGCUAUCUCUGUGAAACAUCUUCAGGUAGAGAGAGUUCAGCCAUGCCUGUGAUGGAAGCGCUAUCAGCUGCUAGCAUCUGUCCAUGCUAGCUGCCAUUCAUCAAUCAGUAAGGCGGUGUGGGCAAAUAGGGCAGGAGAACGUGGGGGGAGGUGGAGAUAACAAAAUGGAGUCUUAUCGCCUGUAUCUUAUCAGCUCUAGCCCUGUGUGUUCCAGACUGAUUGGAAACGUACAGUUGAGAAAUGGUGAUAGUGGAACUUUGUGAACGAGAGCUGGAAGAGGGAAUAUUAGCACUAUUAAGGCCUUCAGAAACAGAAUCUAAUGCUAAAUGGCAAUAAUUUGACCAUAAUGUGAUUAUGGGCUGUCGUGGGAAUGAAUCCAUCAAAAUUCAUGAGACUUUUAGCACAUUUUGGUGUCUAUGCAGUUAGACACCAAACUGCAUUUUGGCUAUUGUUUUUCUUAGCGUUCUCUAAACUGAGUGCAAUUGUCACAACUGUUGUAUGGGACAUAACAAUUCUGUUGCAUGUCUACAAAAAUGUAAGUCACCCAUAACAUUUAGUUUAUGCUUCAA